GUACGAGUUUUGCUGCCUUUAAAUGCACUCCAUCGGUGUGAGGCGACAAUGAUGUCAUUCGCGGCAAAUCUUCAAUUUCAAACAUAUUGUCUAUUUAAAUUUUAAAUCUCAAGAUAUGCAUUAAUUGAACGUUAGAGAAUAUUAACUGCAGGCAGUAGUGAAAACUGACCGAAUACUAAAUUCCGGUAACUGUAUUCUGGUACUAAGUCUCUCACCUGCUGUGUCAGCCUUUGAAGCAGAAAGUCACAGGGGCAAGGGGACUCUUCCACUCAGGAUGCUUGCGUGAAUAGUUAUAGAACAACAGUUGAUGUUAUUGGCCGAGCCGCGCGACGAAGAAAGCAGACGGAACAAAACGCGAUGGAGUCAGAUGCAACGAACAUUAACGUUGAAUUUCGUUUUUACGCAGCGGCAGUUCUUUAUGUUUACCGAAUCCCGAGGAUGCGGAAAGUCGGCGGUUAUUAGCUUUUAGGACUGACUUAGAACCUGAGAGGCACAUAGUAGAUACAUAUGUACAUACCUGGGGCACAUGGUAGAAAAGGAAUCUACGAGUGGAUUAAACAAAGUGAAUAGGCAAAAACAAUACAUAAAAUAAGAACUUUUUAUUUUUAUAUACAAACAUUAAAUUCUUCUAUUUGCAUUCAAUAUACGAGCAAAUUAUUAUCACUGAAUAUAUUGAUAAAAAUAGAAAAAACAAGUACGUAUAAUAGAUGAAAGUAAAAAUAUUAUUUUACUAUUUUCUCCUAGAUUACAUGAAUUGAAAAAAUAGUUUUAUUUGUUUUAUAAAUUUAUUGUCUUAAAAGCAGUAGUAUUACACCGAUAAUAAGUAUUUAUAUACGUGUUUUAUUUCUUUCGCUUCAUUAUUAUAGCUACCGUAUAUGUUAGCUUUUUACGAAUGUAAAUAUAAAUAUUUAUUUCCUUCAUUACGUUGUCGAAAUGUUGGUAUGUAUUUACCUGGAACGGCACAGUUGUAUACGAUAUUGGAUUAGUA